rnacentral:rRNA from 1 species
CGGCACGGGUGAGUAACACGUAUCCAACCUGCCGUCUACUCUUGACAGCCUUCUGAAAGGAAGAUUAAUACAAGAUGGCAUCAUGAGUCCGCAUGUUCACAUGAUUAAAGGUAUUCCGGUAGACGAUGGGGAUGCGUUCCAUUAGAUAGUAGGCGGGGUAACGGCCCACCUAGUCUUCGAUGGAUAGGGGUUCUGAGAGGAAGGUCCCCCACAUUGGAACUGAGACACGGUCCAA